GAUGAACGCUGGCGGCGUGCCUAAUACAUGCAAGUCGAGCGAACGGACGAGAAGCUUGCUUCUCUGAUGUUAGCGGCGGACGGGUGAGUAACACGUGGAUAACCUACCUAUAAGACUGGGAUAACUUCGGGAAACCGGAGCUAAUACCGGAUAAUAUUUUGAACCGCAUGGUUCAAAAGUGAAAGACGGUCUUGCUGUCACUUAUAGAUGGAUCCGCGCUGCAUUAGCUAAUUGGUAAGGUAACGGCUUACCAAGGCAACGAUGCAUAGCCGACCUGAGAGGGUGAUCGGCCACACUGGAACUGAGACACGGUCCAGACUCCUACGGGAGGCAGCAGUAGGGAAUCUUCCGCAAAGGGCGAAAGCCUGACGGGGCAACGCCGCGUGAGUGAUGAAGGUCUUCGGAUCGUAAAACUCUGUUAUUAGGGAAGAACAUAUGUGUAAGUAACUGUGCACAUCUUGACGGUACCUAAUCAGAAAGCCACGGCUAACUACGUG
rnacentral:rRNA from 1 species